CCACAUGCUCCAUUUGUGUAGACCAUUUGUUUGGCCACCUUGGUACUCAGCCUUGAUGAGACCUGGCCUGUCUCGCCAAAAAAAUGACCGACAUUUUAAGAAGAUCCAUGGGACCAGUGUUAUUCUCCUUUUCUAUUGACUCCAAGCAACAGCACAGGGAGAGCCAAGACUUUCCAAAAGACCUGUACAACGGAGGCCAGCAUCAUGAAACACAAACUCCCAAACCAGCAUGGUAACAUGAAACACAAACUCCCAAACCAGCAUGGUAACACACAGGACUUCUUCUGAUUCUUCUUAUGUUCUUGGGUCUUGCCUGUGGUUCUACACGCAUCCAGAAAUGCAGACAAAGAACAGCUUGGCCUUUAACAGUCGGAAGCCUCUGAUUUUACUCUACUAAGCCUCAGAUACAGUCUGUUUUCUGUUCUCAUUCAGUCAUUCAGU